rnacentral:rRNA from 1 species
GAACGUCGUGAGACAGUUCGGUCCCUAUCCGCUGUGGGCGUUGGAAAUUUGAAGGAAGCUGUCCUUAGUACGAGAGGACCGGGAUGGACGAACCUCUAGUGCACCUGUUGUCGGGCCUACCGGCACCGCAGGGUAGCUAUGUUCGGAAGGGAUAACCGCUGAAAGCAUCUAAGCGGGAAGCCCUACCUGAGAUUAAAUUUCCCUGGACUUCGGUCCCUGAAGACGCCAGAAAGACCAUCUGGUGAUAGGCC